rnacentral:rRNA from 1 species
UAGGGAAUCUUCCGCAAUGGGCGAAAGCCUGACGGAGCAACGCCGCGUGAGUGAUGAAGGUCUUCGGAUCGUAAAACUCUGUUAUUAGGGAAGAACAAAUGUGUAAGUAACUAUGCACGUCUUGACGGUACCUAAUCAGAAAGCCACGGCUAACUACGUGCCAGCAGCCGCGGUAAUACGUAGGUGGCAAGCGUUAUCCGGAAUUAUUGGGCGUAAAGCGCGCGUAGGCGGUUUUUUAAGUCUGAUGUGAAAGCCCACGGCUCAACCGUGGAGGGUCCUUGGAAACUGGAAAACUUGAGUGCAGAAGAGGAAAGUGGAAUUCCAUGUGUAGCGGUGAAAUGCGCAGAGAUAUGGAGGAACACCAGUGGCGAAGGCGACUUUCUGGUCUGUAACUGACGCUGAUGUGCGAAAGCGGGGGGAUCAAACAGG